rnacentral:rRNA from 1 species
CCCUUAGAUGUUCUGGGCCGCACGCGUGCUACACUGAUGCAUUCAACGAGUCUAAAACCUGGUCUGAUAGGGCUGGGUAAUCUUUUGAAAGUGCAUCGUGAUUGGGGUAGAUGAUCGCAAUUCUUCAUCUUCAACGAGGAAUGCCCAGUAAACGCAAGUCAUCAGCUUGCAUUGAUUACGUCCCUGCCCUUUGUACACACCGCCCGUCGCUACUACCGAUUGAACGGUUUAGUGAGGGCCUCGGAUUGGUCUCGGCCCGCUCUUUACCGGGCGGCGCCGUUGGUCGAGAAGACGCUCGAACUUGAUCGUUUAGAGGAAGUAAAAGUCGUAACA